rnacentral:tRNA from 1 species
UCCCUGGUGGCUCAGAGGUUAAAGCGUCUGCCUCCAAUGCAGGAGACCUGAGUUCAAUCCCUGGGUCGGGAA